rnacentral:rRNA from 1 species
CCUACGGGAGGCAGCAGUUGGGAAUAUUGCACAAUGGGGGGAACCCUGAUGCAGCGACGCCGCGUGAGUGAAGAAGUAUUUCGGUAUGUAAAGCUCUAUCAGCAGGGAAGAAAAUGACGGUACCUGACUAAGAAGCCCCGGCUAACUACGUGCCAGCAGCCGCGGUAAUACGUAGGGGGCAAGCGUUAUCCGGAUUCACUGGGUGUAAAGGGUGCGUAGACGGGUAUGCAAGUCUGAAGUGAAAGCCUGAGGCUCAACUAUAGAACUGCAUUGGAAACUGUAAAGCUGGAGUGCAGGAGAGGUAGGCGGAAUUCCUGGUGUAGCGGUGAAAUGCGUAGAUAUUAAGAGGAAUACCAGUGGCGAAGGCGGCUUACUGGACUGUAACUGACGUUGAGGCUCGAAGGCGUGGGGAGCAAACAGGAUUAGAUACCCUUGUAGUC